rnacentral:rRNA from 1 species
AGUGUGGGCUUUGCCUGCUAUCUCUUACCCAUGUCUUUUGAGUACCUUCGUUUCCUCGGCGGGUCCGCCCGCCGAUUGGACAAAUUUAAACCCUUUGCAGUUGCAAUCAGCGUCUGAAAAAACAUAAUAGUUACAACUUUCAACAACGGAUCUCUUGGUUCUGGCAUCGAUGAAGAACGCAGCGAAAUGCGAUAAGUAGUGUGAAUUGCAGAAUUCAGUGAAUCAUCGAAUCUUUGAACGCACAUUGCGCCCCUUGGUAUUCCAUGGGGCAUGCCUGUUCGAGCGUCAUUUGUACCUUCAAGCUCUGCUUGGUGUUGGGUGUUUGUCUCGCCUUUGCGUGUAGACUCGCCUCAAAACAAUUGGCAGCCGGCGUAUUGAUUUCGGAGCGCAGUACAUCUCGCGCUUUGCACUCAUAACGACGACGUCCAAAAAGUACAUUUUUACACUCUUGACCUCGGAUCAGGUAGGGAUACCCGCUGAACUUAAGCAUAUCAAAAGCCCGGAGGAAAUC